AGCUAUAGCCAUACCACUCUGAAUGUGCCUGACCUGAAGCUAAGCAGGGUCAGGCCUGGUUAGUACUUGGAUGGGAAAAACGAGGAAGUAGGGUGAAGCUG
rnacentral:rRNA from 1 species